AUUGAACGCUGGCGGCAUGCCUAACACAUGCAAGUCGAACGGAGAUAGGGGCAACCUUAUUUCAGUGGCGGACGGGUGAGGAAUGCGUCGGAAUCUGCCCUAUGGUGGGGGAUAACACAGGGAAACUUGUGCUAAUACCGCAUAAUGUCGAGAGACCAAAGCAGGGGACCGCAAGGCCUUGCGCGAUAGGAUGAGCCGACGCCCGAUUAGCUUGUUGGUAGGGUAAUGGCCUACCAAGGCGACGAUCGGUAGCUGGUCUGAGAGGAUGAUCAGCCACACUGGGACUGAGACACGGCCCAGACUCCUACGGGAGGCAGCAGUGGGGAAUAUUGGACAAUGGGCGCAAGCCUGAUCCAGCAAUGCCGCGUGUGUGAAGAAGGCCUGCGGGUUGUAAACUGCUUUUGUACGGAACGAAAAGAUCUCUUCUAAUAAAGGGGGUCCAUGACGGUACCGUAAGAAUAAGCACCGGCUAACUACGUGCCAGCAGCCGACGG
rnacentral:rRNA from 1 species